AUGGAGGAAAGUGACUGAUCUGCCGGAGA
rnacentral:piRNA from 1 species